rnacentral:rRNA from 1 species
GGCUGAAAUUCGCCUUCAUGAAGCCGGAAUUGCUAGUAAUGGCAGGUCAGCAUACUGCCGUGAAUACGUUCCCGGGCCUUGUACACACCGCCCGUCACACCAUGAGAGUUGGGGAUACCCGAAGCCUGUGAGCUAACUAUUUAUAGGAGCAGCAGUCGAAGGUAGAAUCAAUGAUUGGGGUGAAGUCGUAACAAGGUAGC